GAGUGAACGCUGGCGGUAGGCCUAACCCAUGCAAGUCGAGCGGCAGCACAGUAAGAGCUUGCUCUUACGGGUGGCGAGUGGCGGACGGGUGAGGAAUACAUCGGAAUCUACUUUUUCGUGGGGGAUAACGUAGGGAAACUUACGCUAAUACCGCAUACGACCUACGGGUGAAAGCAUGGGAUCUUCCGACCUUGCGCGAUUGAAUGAGCCGAUGUCGGAUUAGCUAGUUGGCGGGGUAAAGGCCCACCAAGGCGACGAUCCGUAGCUGGUCUGAGAGGAUGAUCAGCCACACUGGAACUGAGACACGGUCCAGACUCCUACGGGAGGCAGCAGUGGGGAAUAUUGGACAAUGGGCGCAAGCCUGAUCCAGCCAUACCGCGUGGGUGAAGAAGGCCUUCGGGUUGUAAAGCCCUUUUAUUGGGAAAGAAAAACAGCAGGUUAAUACCCCGCUGUUCUGACGGUACCCAAAGAAUAAGCACCGGCUAACUUCGUG
rnacentral:rRNA from 1 species